rnacentral:rRNA from 1 species
CUCCUACGGGAGGCAGCAGUGGGGAAUAUUGCGCAAUGGGCGAAAGCCUGACGCAGCGACGCCGCGUGGGUGAUGAAGGCCUUCGGGUCGUAAAGCCCUGUCGGGAGGGAAGAAACCUCGGCGAUCUAAUACAUCGCCGACUUGACGGUACCUCCGAAGGAAGCACCGGCUAACUCCGUGCCAGCAGCCGCGGUAAUACGGAGGGUGCGAGCGUUGUUCGGAAUUACUGGGCGUAAAGCGCGUGUAGGCGGUUUUCUAAGUCUGAUGUGAAAGCCCGGGGCUCAACCCCGGAAGUGCAUUGGAAACUGGGAGACUAGAGUACCGGAGAGGAGGGUGGAAUUCCUGGUGUAGCGGUGAAAUGCGUAGAUAUCAGGAGGAACACCGGUGGCGAAGGCGGCCCUCUGGACGGAUACUGACGCUGAGACGCGAAAGCGUGGGGAGCAAACAGGAUUAGAUACCCUGGUAGUCCACGCUGUAAACGAUGGGUACUAGGUGUUCGGGGUAUUGACCCCCUGAGUGCCGCAGCUAACGCAUUAA